GAGCCGGAUCCGGUGGAGUUGCAGCGGGUGGUAUCUUGCGAAUAGAGAGUUGUUGCGGUUCCUCAAGCUUAGGCCCAGAAUGUUCUAAGUGAAGGAAUCUCAAGCCUGCAAAGGGAAGGAAAAUCAACUGGAUGAAGGCUGGAAUUAUAGAAUCCCAAAGGGUCUUAACUGGAUGAUGCUUACGGUGAAGAUGAUGCAGCAGAGGCUUCAUGGAGUUCUGAGUACAUAUGAGUUUUCAUAAAUAAUCAGCAUAUGAUGUACCCCUGUUUUAAGUCAGAUUGAAAUCUUUUAGUCUUGAGUCUACCAUGUGUUCAUUUUGUUUGAUGUAUAUUUUGCUUCUGCUGUGUGCGGAUAUUGUAUCAGUGAUGAGAGAUUGGCAAUGAAUAGGAGCUGUUCAAUUAUGAGAUC